rnacentral:rRNA from 1 species
UGGCGGCGUGCCUAACACAUGCAAGUCGAACGAGUCUUGUAUUAUAGCAAUAUUAUUAAAGAGGAGUGGCGAACGGGUGAGUAACACGUAGAUAAUCUGCCUUCAGACGGGGACAACUCAGGGAAACUUGUGCUAAUACCCGAUGAGACCACAAGAAGGGAUUUUUGUGGCCAAAGGCGGGCAGCAAUGCUCGUGCUGAAAGAUGAGCCUGCGUCCUAUCAGCUAGUUGGUGGGGUAAAUGCCUACCAAGGCUAAGACGGGUAGCCGGCCUGAGAGGGUGAACGGCCACACUGGGACUGAGACACGGCCCAGACUCCUACGGGAGGCAGCAGUGAGGAAUUUUCCGCAAUGGGCGCAAGCCUGACGGAGCGACGCCGCGUGAGGGAUGAACAGCUUUCGGGUUGUAAACCUCUUUUAUUAAAGGAAAAAGAUCUAUAUGCUAAUAUCAUGUAGAUUUGAUGGUACUUAUUGAAUAGGCCCCGGCUAACUACGUGCCAGCAGCGGC